rnacentral:rRNA from 1 species
CCAGAGAACUUUCCAGAGAUGGAUUGGUGCCUUCGGGAACUCUGAGACAGGUGCUGCAUGGCUGUCGUCAGCUCGUGUUGUGAAAUGUUGGGUUAAGUCCCGCAACGAGCGCAACCCUUAUCCUUUGUUGCCAGCGGUUAGGCCGGGAACUCAAAGGAGACUGCCAGUGAUAAACUGGAGGAAGGUGGGGAUGACGUCAAGUCAUCAUGGCCCUUACGAGUAGGGCUACACACGUGCUACAAUGGCGCAUACAAAGAGAAGCGACCUCGCGAGAGCAAGCGGACCUCAUAAAGUGCGUCGUAGUCCGGAUUGGAGUCUGCAACUCGACUCCAUGAAGUCGGAAUCGCUAGUAAUCGUGGAUCAGAAUGCCACGGUGAAUACGUUCCCGGGCCUUGUACACACCGCCCGUCACACCAUGGGAGCGGGUUGCAAAAGAAGUAGGUAGCUUAACCUUCGGGAGGGCGCUUACCACUUUGUGAUUCAUGACUGGGGUGAAGUCGUAACAAGGUAGGCGUAGAUGA